GACGAACGCUGGCGGCGUGCUUAACACAUGCAAGUCGAACGGAAAGGCCCUGCUUUUGUGGGGUGCUCGAGUGGCGAACGGGUGAGUAACACGUGAGUAACCUGCCCUUGACUUUGGGAUAACUUCAGGAAACUGGGGCUAAUCCCGGAUAGGAGCUCCUGCUGCAUGGUGGGGGUUGGAAAGUUUCGGCGGUUGGGGAUGGACUCGCGGCUUAUCAGCUUGUUGGUGGGGUAGUGGCUUACCAAGGCUUUGACGGGUAGCCGGCCUGAGAGGGUGACCGGCCACAUUGGGACUGAGAUACGGCCCAGACUCCUACGGGAGGCAGAAGUGGGGAAUAUUGCACAAUGGGCGGAAGCCUGAUGCAGCAACGCCGCGUGCGGGAUGACGGCCUUCGGGUUGUAAACCGCUUUCGCCUGUGACGAAGCGUGAGUGACGGUAAUGGGUAAAGAAGCACCGGCUAACUACGUG
rnacentral:rRNA from 1 species